AGUUAAUGAGCUUGAAAAGCGUAUGUUUUGAAAACAUAAGAUAGAAAUAAAACUUUCUAUUAACUU
rnacentral:tRNA from 1 species